rnacentral:piRNA from 1 species
UGAAGUUGGACCCACCACCUAGCUAUGC